GCGCUAUCUAUCUAGUUGUAAACAUAAAGUUGUGUGAACAAAUGAUUAUGUUAUAAAAAUGGCUAACACUUUAACUAACGUACCUGUAUCAAAAAUUAUAAAAAGUAAAAGUAAUUUCGAAGAUGAGCCGAGAAAAAAGAGUAGAGAAGAUUGGAGAAAAGCGAAAGAGUUAGAAGAAGCAAGAAAAGCUGGUACAGCACCAGCAGCUGUAGAUGAAGAAGGCAAAGAUAUCAAUCCACAUAUUCCACAAUAUAUUAGUGCCACACCAUGGUAUUUUGGAGCGCAGGGCCCUACUUUAAAACAUCAAAGACCACAACCCGAGAAACAGAAGCAAUAUAGUAGCAUAGAUGAAUGGUACAAACGUGGUGUGGAUGUAUCUAAUGCAGUAACAAAGUACCGCAAAGGUGCCUGUGAAAAUUGCGGGGCAAUGACUCAUAAAAGAAAAGAAUGUAUGGAACGUCCUCGUAAAGUAGGAGCAAAAUUUACAAAUGUAAACAUUGCACCUGAUGAAUUUACACAGCCCGAAUUAUCUAUGGACUAUGAUGGCAAACGUGAUAGGUGGGCUGGAUAUGAUCCUUCACAGCAUAGAGCUAUUGUUGAAGAAUAUCAAAAGAUUGAAGAAGCAAAGAGACAAAUGCGUGCAGAGAAAUUAAAUGCAGAAGAGAAUGAUGAGCAAGAUUCGGAUAAAGAUGAAGAUAAAUACGUCGAUGAAGUUGAUAUGCCUGGUACAAAAGUAGAUUCUAAACAGCGAAUUACUGUUAGAAAUUUACGAAUUAGAGAAGAUACAGCAAAAUAUUUGAGAAACUUAGACCCAAAUUCUGCUUACUAUGAUCCUAAAACAAGAUCCAUGCGCGAUAAUCCUUACGUUGGUACUGAAAGAGAAGUGGAUUACAAGGGUGAAAAUUUUGUUCGUUUUUCGGGAGAUACGCAGCAGCAUGCAAAUGCUCAAUUAUUUGCAUGGGAAGCCCAUGAAAGGGGUGUUGAUGUUCAUUUACUUGCUGAACCCACAAAAUUAGAGUUACUCAAACAGGAAUACGAUAAGAAACGUGAUGAAUUAAAAGACAAAGCCCGUGAUAGCAUAAUUAACAGAUAUGGAGGUGAAGAACACCUUGAUGCCCCACCACCUUCGCUCUUGUUGGCACAAACGGAACAAUACGUAGAAUAUUCAAGAUAUGGAAAGAUCAUCAAGGGGCAAGACCGACAAGUAAUUAGAUCAAAAUACGAGGAAGACAUAUUUCCAAAUAAUCAUACAUCCGUUUGGGGAUCUUAUUGGCACGCAGGCAAAUGGGGAUACAAAUGUUGUCAUUCUUUUAUAAAAAAUUCAUACUGCACAGGGGAAGCAGGUAAAAGGGCACUGGAAGCAGCAGUUGUUGAAAAUAAAAUGCCUUUAAACGAUGAGCAAAAGUCUGAUAAUGAAAAAGCAGAAUCGUCUGAUGAAAAGUCGGCAAGCAGUGAUAGUUCGUCCGAUGAAGAAGAAAAACUAUCAAAGAGUAGAAAGAACGCAAAGACUCUUAAGAGGAAAAAUAAAAAGCAAAAACAAAAGGAGAGGAAGAAAAAUAAGAAGAAGGCUGCCAAGAUGCAAGAAGAAAAUAAAUUACAACAGGCGUUAAAGAAGGAAGAAGAAAAUGAGAAAGAAGCAGAAAGAUUGAUGCAACUGGAUGAAAGAAAACGUCCGUAUAAUAGCAUGUAUGAAGUAAAAAGACCAACAAUGGAUGAAAUUGAAGCGUUUCAGAUGAAACGAAAACGUGAUGAUGACCCUAUGGCAGAAUUUCUUAAUCAGUAAUUGGAAUAAGAAUUUCAUUCAAAAAUAUUAAAUGUUUCUUAUAAUAUAAAUGCGAACAUGUUUUCGUUAUGGCAAAUCCACAUAGUACACUUUUUCCGUCAUUAAAAUCAAUGGCAUACAUCACUAAUUUAUCACAGUGUUAAAGAAACAAGAUAUUUGUAACGGAUAAAACAAUAAUGUGAAAAUGCAGUGAACAUCUUUGAUUGCAAAAUGUUAAUUUUUGCAAUUCGUAUUAAUUGUCGCUAGAUGGCAGU